UACGAAGGGGGCUAGCGUUGCUCGGAAUCACUGGGCGUAAAGCGCACGUGGGCGGAUCUUUAAGUCAGGGGUGAAAUCCUGGAGCUCAACUCCAGAACUGCCUUUGAUACUGGGGAUCUCGAGUCCGGGAGAGGUGAGUGGAACUGCGAGUGUAGAGGUGAAAUGCGUUGAUAUUAUGGGGAACACCAAAAGCGAAGGCAGCAGACUGGGGCACUCGUGACACUGAAACAUGAAAGCGUGGGUAGCGAAUGGG
rnacentral:rRNA from 1 species